GAUAGAUUCAGAGGCUGGCUGUAAACAGCUUCCGAUGCUAACAGGGUUGAGGACAAGGAGGGGACAGAAAAUAGAAAUUGCCAUAUCAUUCUCUUUAGAGUCUUGACCAAGGGCAACCUGUUCCUGACAGGGUCAGCAAAGCUGUGCUUCCUCCUCUGAUGGGUUUGUAAGCCUGGCAGAGAGAAGAAAGCGAGGAGAAGGAAUGCUGGUUCCUCUGCCAGCCAGCUCUGUUUAUGAAAUUCCUGAUUGUCUCCAGAAACGAGAGGAAAGCUAAGUGCUUGGUCAAUCUCUGUCAAGAUGUGUGUGCCCGAGUCUCUCCACUUCCAAAAUGGAAACAGCAAGGAGCUUGGAACCAGCAAAGAAUAAACAUCUUAAGAAGACUGCACAGCUCAGCUUGGAACUGCUGGAGAAAGGCAGCCUUUAAGCCUGUGUGUUUUCUUCUUGACGUUCGGUUUUGUGGCAACAAGGGCCACCUUUCUCCUCUCUGGUGUGGUAGAUCUUCAAGGACAAAGAAGGCUUAACUCAAAGUGACUUCAACAAUGAGAAAAAGCUUCCUAUUCCCCACAAAAGGAACCCAGGCAGCCUUAAGGCUGUGAAAAGGGUCAGAAGCUAAGGGCUGAAGCUCCCUGGAAGAAGGUGUUGUGUCCUGAUAGCACCGAUCAUGCCCCACUGACUCAAGCAUUCCUGGGUCUUGCUCCUUCAUUAGAUGGUGAGCACUCUCAGGGCUGUGUGUCAAGACCUGACGGUUCUAGCCCACGGUCUUCACAUUGCGGACUCUCUGCUGCUCGCUGUUGCCACCGUGAAUUCUGCUACGCUUUUCUGCUGUGAUGGACUGAAGCUGCCCUGACAGUGAUCACAAUAAAUCUCUCCUCUCUCAAGUUAUUUCUGCCAGAUGAACGUGGAAAGGAACACUUUUGAUAAGCAACAAGACACAGAUAGCCUAUCAGAUGUGGGAAUGAAGUGCGGAAAACCCAAAAUCAUUUAGCAAAUGGAUUGAAGCUAGCCAGAAUUUCACCAGUCCAGGGAGAGCACAAAGGGGAGUUAGCCUCUGCCGAACCAAGCUGCCUUGCUGAAGGCUCUGCCUGUCUCUGAGGAAGCCAGGGUAAAAGGCCUGUCUCCUAUCUCAUUAGGGAUGCUCUGAAGGAGCAGUAUUUCCUGAGAGCUGGUGAGGUGGCGAUACAUUCUGCUGUUGCCACGGACGUUCAGCCUCCAAGAUGGAUGCAGUUUUGUACUACUACUGUAGGAUCUGACGGAAAAUAAUGAAUGAUUAAUAAAUGAACAGAUGGAAGAUACCUCAUGAACUUAAAUCCUGUAAUUGCAAGAGGGGUAAAAAUCGGCCUCCACCCUAACAAAUACAGACUUCCAUCUGCAGGCAAGUGGGGCCAUGGGAUCUGCUAACAUGCAGAAGGAAGAUAGCAGCUCUUUGUGAACUCUCGGGCCUGCUGCACAAUAAGCCAGAACAACACAGAGACAAGAUGCUUUGGAACGUCUGGGAGUCUCUGCUGUCUUAUUACAUACAAGGACCCUGGCAUUUCCUGCUAAUUCAAAGGAAGAGAAGAAAAUUAGUGCCUGUUCUUCAUCAUGUCUGUGAAACUGGAGCCAAAAAUGGAUUUUUUUUGGAUCACACAUCUCCUGUCUCCUGCUGCCGGUGAUGAAGCUGCCAGCCCCACGCCAGUGGGCGGAAAUAGAUACCAGCCCUGGAGGAAGUACUGACUGCUUAUGGGCGCCUGCCACCCUCCCUGCUUCCUCCUCUUCGUGUGGAAGGAAACCGUGGGCUUUCCUGGGCAUUUUUUCUUAUUCUCUUAAUACAGGGGAACUGAAGCAUUUGGCUUUGGUUGUUUGGAUAGUGAAUCUCAGCUUGGAGGGCUUUCCAGAAAGCAGGCGGCUCCGGUCUCUGAACUCUAACUCCGUUUCUCCACCCCCCUUCCGGUGCUGUGCAGUUCUUUCCAAUUCCUGAAUUGACAUGUACAGUACUAGAAAACCUGCAGAGAGCGCCUGGAGGUCACAGCCUGCAUGAGCUUUCAAGCUGGAGAGGGCUAAGUGGAAGGAAGACACUGCACCCCUGGGAUUUCCUCCUGCAAAUGAGAUGAAAUCUAUAUAAAUGUACUCUUUCCCGUCUCAUACCUUUUAUUCGAUUUGCAUACCACGGAUCCGAUGACAACUCUCUUGAAAAGUGCUCCUUUGACUGUUUCAGCCACAGCGGUUCAUGCAAAGAAACUAAAUCUUGGAAAGGAAGGGGCUAACCCCUCCCCAUGCUUGUGCUCAGGAACCACAUGAUGACCAUGACAGACCAUGACCAGGACAUCGGUGGGUGCAAAAAGAAGAAACAAGAGCACAGGGAGGAAGGAAGAGCUGGGUGGCAUGGGGUGGGGUGGGGUGGGGGGAGGAUUGCAACUAGGCAUGAUCUUGCUUCAGGGCAUGGAGCCCAGAAAGCCCAAGACCAGAGGGCUAUGCCUAGAGCGAAGCAUAUUUUUCAGCAGUGCUCCCCCCAUUUGGGGGACAUAUUCUAGGAUGGAAGUAGAAAGAUUGUAAUGGAAUGUGGCACGUGAGCUCAUUUGUGAAAAACAAAACAAAAUAAAACAAAAAACCAAAACAGCUUUAAUUUGCUACAGUGCUGAGUUCUGAGGCAACCAUGCAAAGAUCUGUUUCUCUUCCUC
rnacentral:lncRNA from 1 species